AGGAAAAAGUUAAUAAUUUUCCUUACCUGCCUGCCCUUGGCUGUUCAAAAAAAACUAUUUGGACUACUUAGACCCGUCGCGAAAUCUCUACUAAAGGAAGCUCGCAGACAAAGGAAACCUCACUAAACUCUAGUGCGCGAAUCCUAAUUCUAGAAAUUGACUCGCGCGAGAGACGAGCAACGCAGAGCUGGUGGCCAAGUUUUGUGAAGCAACAGAUCUCGCUAGUCGCUUCACUUUUUCGGUAGGUCUACGUUGUGGUUGGUACUCAGGUUUGUUGAUCGCCUUCUCAUAAUUCGUACUUUCUUCCUGAUCGUCGCGUAGUUUCCGGUCGUUGUUAGGGUUCACGACGCCGUUCGUAAUCUGUUUCUUGAUCGCCUUCUCUUGAUGACUGGUACUCUCUUACUCCUUGUAGUUUGCUGUUUGUAGGGUUUACGAUGGUGUCGAUAAUUGUUUUUCUUGGUCCCCUUCUCAUGUCUGCAUGCACAGGAGAAAGGAAAUUAUCUUCCCUCGUGUUAUUGGGAGGUAUGCAAUGUGCAAAUCUUCUUUACAUGCAUCAUGCAUGUCCUUGUUCGAGCAAAGAAUUAGGUGGUGGUUGGUAUUAGUUUUACUUGUUAUCACUUAUCAGUAAAUAUGUUUAAUACAUAUUUGUGGAUAGCUGGUUAUGGUGAAUAAUACUGUUUAGGAUAUAUUUCUCAACAUACUAUUCAUGCUUCUUUCCCCCUAACAUGUACUGUGUCUGUACCACCUAUUGGAAAACAUGAUUGUCGCAGAGUAUGCCAUGCAAAUUUUAAAUUAGAAUGUUGCGGAAUUAUCUGAUUUUUU